ensembl:lncRNA
CUAAUAGUGCAAGCUGAGUUCAUCUCAUAAAUAAGGAUUAUAAAAAGCUCAUUUGAAUGUAUUAGAAAUGAAAGGAACUUAUUUUAUUAUAAGCAGGAGAAAUGCAGCAGUGUCAGCAUGAGUGGAAGAGCUUCUCUUUCCCUGCAGAAACCUACUGCCAGGCUGGAGUUAAACAGCAGACACAGCAGUACCUGGGUGCUGGGAUUACGUUGAAGAGUGAAAUGAAGGCAAAGUGGGUCUGCAAGGGUGGAAAUGAGCUGGAAGCAGAUAGAAAACCUCAGUGCAACCACAUUGGUGGGAUGAGGUGGGAGACACCUGAACUCCAAGGCCCUUCCUGUGCUGCUGGAGGUCUCCCAGCAAGGGCUGGAUGUUCAUCUUGCUGGGGCAUCAUCCAACCGGAGAGCAAAGGCAGUGUCUGCGUGUUUGAAAGAGGGAAGCAGUGACUGGAACAACUACAGGCACAGCAGUGUGAGUGAAGUCCUAUGUGCAGCUGUAGAGCAGGAGGGAAAAAUCAGUGAUUUGGAAGAACAUGGAAAACCAAGGAUAAAUAGAACAUAGGUCAACUCAAGCUAGAAAGCCUUCCUACCAGCCUUGCCUAAAGCUGAGCACUGCUGAUACCACACGGUGCUUUCUGAUGGUGAAGGAGACCCCUCCAGGACCUACAAACCAGAUAAUCUGACAGCAGCGGCCGUCCUCUGCUCCAAGUGCUCUUCCCACCUCUUUGCUUUCAACAAGAGCCC